rnacentral:rRNA from 1 species
CCUACGGGUGGCAGCAGUGAGGAAUAUUGGUCAAUGGGCGGAAGCCUGAACCAGCCAAGUAGCGUGCAGGAUGACGGCCCUACGGGUUGUAAACUGCUUUUAUACGGGAAUAACGCGCCUUACGUGUAGGGCUUUGCAUGUACCGUAUGAAUAAGGACCGGCUAAUUCCGUGCCAGCAGCCGCGGUAAUACGGAGGGUCCGGGCGUUAUCCGGAUUUAUUGGGUUUAAAGGGAGCGUAGACCGGAUGUCAAGCGUGCUGUGAAAUGUCCGGGCUCAACCCGGGCCUUGCAGGGGGAACUGGAGUGCUUGAGUGCGCGGGAGGCAGGCGGAAGUCGUAGUGUAGCGGUGAAAUGCUUAGAUAUGACGAAGAACCCCGAUUGCGAAGGCAGCUUGCUGCAGCGGAACUGACGCUGAUGCUCGAAAGCGCGGGUAGCGAACAGGAUUAGAUACCCUGGUAGUC